rnacentral:rRNA from 1 species
GACGAACGCUGGCGGCGUGCUUAACACAUGCAAGUCGAACGGAAAGGCCCUGCUUUUGUGGGGUGCUCGAGUGGCGAACGGGUGAGUAACACGUGAGUAACCUGCCCUUGACUUUGGGAUAACUUCAGGAAACUGGGGCUAAUACCGGAUAGGAGCUCCUGCUGCAUGGUGGGGGUUGGAAAGUUUCGGCGGUUGGGGAUGGACUCGCGGCUUAUCAGCUUGUUGGUGGGGUAGUGGCUUACCAAGGCUUUGACGGGUAGCCGGCCUGAGGGGGUGACCGGCCACAUGGGGACUGAGAUACGGCCCAGACUCCUACGGGAGGCAGCAGUGGGGAAUAUUGCACAAGGGGCGGAAGCCUGAGGCAGCAACGCCGCGUGCGGGAUGACGGCCUUCGGGUUGUAAACCGCUUUCGCCUGUGACGAAGCGUGAGUGACGGUAAUGGGUAAAGAAGCACCGGCUAACUACGU